GGGGCACUACGAGCAGGGGUAUCAUGAGUACCAAAAGCAAGGAGACGCGCCGUAGGGAGAGCCAAGCUACGACCCACUUUAAGAUGCCUUGGCCAAGAGACUGAAGGGGACGAAUAAAAAUACACACGUGUGGUUUGAGUUUUCUUUUCUUUUCCCUUUAUUUAUUUAUUUUAGCAUGUGUGUUGGGUGUGCGUAGUAUUUUUGUUUUAUUUUCUCUUUACUUUCAGUUUUUGUGCUUC
rnacentral:lncRNA from 1 species